rnacentral:rRNA from 1 species
UACGUAGGGGGCUAGCGUUGUCCGGAAUCAUUGGGCGUAAAGCGCGUGUAGGCGGUUCGGUAAGUCCGCUGUGAAAGUCGGGGGCUCAACCCUCGAAAGCCGGUGGAUACUGUCGGACUAGAGUGCGGAAGAGGCGAGUGGAAUUCCUGGUGUAGCGGUGAAAUGCGCAGAUAUCAGGAGGAACACCGGUGGCGAAGGCGGGUCUCUGGGCCGAUACUGACGCUGAGGAGCGAAAGCGUGGGGAGCGAACAGG